GGUUACUGCUAUCGGUGUUCGUCUAAGCCAUGCGAGUCAUAUGUAGCAAUACAUGGCGUACUGCUCAGUAACACGUGGAUAACCUGCCCUUGGGUCCGGCAUAACCCCGGGAAACUGGGGAUAAUUCCGGAUAACGCACAUAUGCUGGAAUGCUUUAUGCGUGAAAUGGAUUCGUCUGCCCAAGGAUGGGUCUGCGGCCUAUCAGGUAGUAGUGGGUGUAAUGUACCUACUAGCCUACGACGGGUACGGGUUGUGAGAGCAAGAGCCCGGAGAUGGAUUCUGAGACAUGAGUCCAGGCCCUACGGGGCGCAGCAGGCGCGAAAACUUUACAAUGCGGGAAACCGUGAUAAGGGGACACCGAGUGCCAGCAUCCUAUGCUGGCUGUCCAGGUGUGUAAACUACACCUGUUAGCAAGGGCCGGGCAAGACCGGUGCCAGCCGCCGCGGUAACACCGGCGGCCCGAGUGGUGAUCGUGAUUAUUGGGUCUAAAGGGUCCGUAGCCGGUUUGGUCAGUCCUCCGGGAAAUCUGACAGCUUAACUGUUAGGCUUUCGGAGGAUACUGCCAGACUUGGAACCGGGAGAGGUAAGAGGUACUACAGGGGUAGGAGUGAAGUCUUGUAAUCCCUGUGGGACCACCUGUGGCGAAGGCGUCUUACCAGAACGGGUUCGACGGUGAGGGACGAAAGCUGGGGGCACGAACCGGAUUAGAUACCCGGGUAGUCCCAGCCGUAAACGAUGCUCGCUAGGUGUCAGGCAUGGCGCGACCGUGUCUGGUGCCGCAGGGAAGCCGUGAAGCGAGCCACCUGGGAAGUACGGCCGCAAGGCUGAAACUUAA
rnacentral:rRNA from 1 species